rnacentral:rRNA from 2 species
GGAGCAUGUGGUUUAAUUCGAAGCAACGCGCAGAACCUUACCAGCCCUUGACAUACCGGUCGCGGACACAAAGAUGUGUCUUUCAGUUCGGCUGGACCGGAUACAGGUGCUGCAUGGCUGUCGUCAGCUCGUGUCGUGAGAUGUUGGGUUAAGUCCCGCAACGAGCGCAACCCUCGCCCUUAGUUGCCAGCAUUUAGUUGGGCACUCUAAGGGGACUGCCGGUGAUAAGCCGAGAGGAAGGUGGGGAUGACGUCAAGUCCUCAUGGCCCUUACGGGCUGGGCUACACACGUGCUACAAUGGUGGUGACAGUGGGCAGCGAGCACGCGAGUGUGAGCUAAUCUCCAAAAGCCAUCUCAGUUCGGAUUGCACUCUGCAACUCGAGUGCAUGAAGUUGGAAUCGCUAGUAAUCGCGGAUCAGC